UGGUAAGUCUGUUGUAUUUUGCUACAUUUUAGACAUUCAUGAAAUACUUACCUCUUUUGGUGUGACUGUGUGAUAGCUCUUUGAUCCAUGAUUUCAUCAUUUGGAGGGAUAUGGUGGACAAAAAGAAGUGGAUUAAAUGAAGUAUAAAUCAAAGUAGUGACCUCACUUGGUAGUGAAAUGGAUUGCCUUCAUUCAACUGGAUAUGAGAGUUGUCAGUCAUUAGGAGAAAUUGAGAAAAACACCUGUCCGAUAGUCUGGUAAAAAAUAUCUGGGCCAAUAAGGUCCAUAUUUUUAACAUUUGCCUUUGGAGAGUUAAAUGGGGGAAGCUACCUAUAAAGAAAUACACAAAAAAGUGGUAUACGAAUCAAUAAUUGUGUCCUUUAUGGUGAGGAAGAGAACAUAAAUCACCUUUUUUUCAAUUGUUCUUACUCCCAAGAAUUAUAUAGAGCAUGUACUCAUGGAAUGGAGAAUUAGAUCCCAACAAGAUGUUCAAUCUGGAAGGGAUAAGAGUACCUCAGUCAAUAGGUUCUUUAAUCAAGGAUUGAUUGGGGACCGAAUUUCUAGAAAAUGUCAAGGUAUUGAACCCGAAGAAUGGAGUUUCGGGCUUCACUGCUUGUAGAAUACAUGAUUGAGAUCAGAUUGAGGAACAAGAAAGUCAAUAGGUAUUAUAGUUGGGCUUCGAGGCGGGACCAGGUUGGAAAUCGAGUCUCUGAAAGAUUGGAGGUCCUAUUGAGCUAACUACUUAGUGAUAUUAUAUUGAGCUAAUUACUUAUUUAGUUAUGUGUUUGUAAUAAGUUAGAGACCGUUAGCACAUUAGAAUAAUAAUAAUCGUAAUGUGGUUAAACCUAAACUUGUAUAAAUAUGCCUAUCAAUGCUAUUAAGAAAGGUUCCAAUAUUUGGAUAUCUUUCUUCACCCAUAUUAAGUUUUCACCUAUAUGGUAUGUAUCAGACGAUCUGAUGGGUGCCAACUCAUCAGAAUUAUUUCAAUAAUAAAUCAUUGUCUGUAUUUGAAAAUUCCCUUAUGCCAUGUUUUUGUUUUAAAUAUCGGGCCGUCAAAUUGACAGAACAGAUCAUUCAGCAUUCCGUUUUCCAAUGAAUAGAUAGAUUGCUUAGUUAUUAUCUACACCAUUCUAGGCGAUUCAUAUUGGGCACAUACUUGGCCAAGUCUAUUUGGUAGCUUAGGAACAAUUUAGGCAAUAGGUUUUUUUCAGCAUGUAAUUUUUAAAUUAUACAUACUUUUGUUUAAAUUUACAUAACAUGUUCAUGAAUAAGAUCAAAGCAUAAGGGUCAAGUAAGUUACUCGAUCACUCUUAUCACUUUAGUACUUAUGUUUUAAUGAAUGAUGGUUCAUUUUGUAAACCAUAAUAAAUCAUGGUAUAUUCAAAAGUCUCAAAUUUCAAUGAUUAAUGAUACCAAAAAUACAACCUUAGAAAUUUUAUUUAAACUUUGAUCUAUAUUUUGACACUAAAUUUUAGGUAUUCCAAGGACAAAUUCAGUAGGACAAGUUUCUGAUUUUGGAGAUCAGGUAGCAGAUGUGCUCACCAACUCUGAGGAAGCAAGAAGAGGCGAAUAUCCUGUUAUAAGAAGUCUUAUACGUGCUUUAGAAGUAAUUAAAUUUAUUUUAGUCUUCUAUUUAUCUAUGAAGAGGUGUAGUUCAGCUUAAUGGUUAAUAUGUAUUUAUUAAUCAUUUCAAUCCUGUGCAUUUUAGGGUGGAAUUGAAGGCAAAAAACAAGUCGACUUAGUCAUUGAUAAGUGUGCCACGAUGCAGGUAUUCUAUGGAUAUUUUAUGAAAAUUAUCAUUUUAUUUAGCUUCUAUAGAAGUUCUCCAUCUUACCACUAUCAAUUGUUAAAACCCAACUUGGUCUAAAAUAAUAAAAAGAAGCAAAGAUGAGAGCAUAAUUUGCAAUCUUCGGAUGAUUUCUUUUGUGUUUUACAGAACUUACGAGAAUCUAUUGUUACAUAUGGCAGUAGUAUUCUUCGCCAACCUGAUGAAAAGAAGAGAGAGGCUUCCCUCUGUGUCUUUUGCGAAUACUUGGAGAGGUACUAUUUCCUCAUUUGCUUUGCAGUUUAUAUACAUAACGAAAUACCUGCUUCCCAAAGUUCGCCAAACCAAGUCAGUUUUUCUGACUGGAUGAAAGCAAGGCCAGAACUUUACAGCAUACUACGGAGGUGCGUAUAAAUUUAGUUCCAUGAAAUCUUAAAUAUUUUAUUAUAUAGACAUUAUAAUGGUUAGAUAUGAAUAUAAUCUAGUUGAUUUUGGUUUUUUUUAUUUAACCUAUAAUAGUUGUUCACACAAUUCCAUCAAAUCUUGAAUUGGAAUGUCAAACAAGAAAUAUCAAGCACUAAUGGAAUUUCCAACAUUUUUUCUAAAUCAAAUGUGUUAUUUUUUUAAAGAAAAAAAUGUGUUAUUUCUAAUGAAAUGACACUGUCCAAAUAUCUAGUCAAAUCUCUUUGAUUCCAAAUAAGAUAUGAAGAACAAUAACUUGUCUCUAUUUAAUUGUUUACCUAAAAUAAAACCUAACUUUAGUUCACGAAGAUAUAAAGAAGUUUUAUGAUAAAUAAUAAAAUAGACGUUGUGUUUAGUUAAUUAGUUCAUAAUGCACAGAAGCAUCACAGGGAUAACUUGAGUGGGUAAUGAGGGUGCAAUUUGGGGUUGAGUCUAGGGCUCAUGAAGUGGAGUCAUUUAUGUUCUUUUAGGCACACUCAAUUCUUGUCUUUAGGAGUUUGAAGUUUGAGUCGAAGUAGUUUGGGAUUUGAAGUUUGGGGUUUGAAGUUUGUUUUCAUUUUUACAAUGUACACUAUCUCCGACUUCAAAGAGUUUGGGGUUUGGGUUUGUGGAGUGAAGUGGAAUAGUGGAUCCAAAGUAAUUUGUGGCUUCACGUGAUUGAUGAAGCAAAAUUUCACAUUUACUACACACUCUCUAUUCAUAUCUUCAGAAGGUUGGAGCUGAUCCCUAUUUAUAAGGGCUGGGAAGCAGUCAUGUCCUCCAUGGGUCGAGAAUUUCUCUUAAGUGGGUUUGGGACAGGUAGAAAAGAGGUUCUGACUGAUUACGCAUGGGUAAUAAACUCAAAUCUCGAGGUAGAAAUAGACGGACAAGUUCAGAUAUUUCAUAUUAUCUCAUCAUCUAUUAUCUCACAUGAUUCUAACCUUAUAAAAUUAUUUACUAUGAGUGAAACUAGAAGAGAUAGAAAAUGGGGGAAUCAAGUGAUCGACCCCUCUAAACAUAUAUUAGAUGUGUUUAUAUACACUUGAGUUUAAGAUUAGAUCUUAACUGAAUUCAGUUGAGAUCUAAUCUAUACUAACUAAUUACAAUUAGUAUUAUAAGGGCUAAAAUGUAAUUACAAACAAAUGAAAACAAAUAGCCUUAUUUAUUAUUACUAAUAUUUACAAUUCAUGUUAUUCAAUCCAGGGUUCUCCUAUAGUCCUAUCCUAGCAGAGUGCAUACUUAUGACUAUGCCAUAGAGGUGUAGUGGUCUGUGCCAACACCAUGUUAUAGUGCCACUAUAUAAUGGCCUAUAUCGGGUCUUUAAAAAAAAAUCUUGUACUCAUAAUACUCAAACUGAAAAAAGUACAGGAUAAUUGAUAACGUGCAUGUUUUUAUACAAUAACACUCUUUGAAAGAAAAGAACUUCUUCAAAGACAAGAGUGGUCAGGGAUUAUUCUUUUGCCGAAAGAAAUUCUAAGAAACUCUAAGAAGUCGCUGGCUGGAAUCUAAAAAUGAUACCAUUUCCAAAAGAAUUCGCUGGCUGGAGAAGUCACAGAUCAAAGAAGUCGAUCUGGACCCAAACCAUAUCUUCACUCUAAUGAAGGGUGGAUUAUUAAGUGGAUAUAGACCCAUAUCCACCCAAGAUCCUAAUAGGUUAUAGCAACAUAGGGUUAGGUCACUUCUAUGAUCUCUCCCACCACUCCAAGAAGUUAGUGUAAGUGUGCAACUAGAGAGUCAUUAUAUCAAAUAUACUAUGUUUAACCCCACUGUAUUGGGAUUCUAAUCGAUCUUCUAAUUAAACAAGGUGUGAUUCUCUCUGUACCCAUCCUUUCUUUGAAAUUUUCUUCAUUGAACACAACUUUGCAUCCCUUCUUGAUCCACUCUUAGAUCUUCUGCUAGCUCCUCUUCUUUUUCAUGUACUCUCCUUAUACCCUUCUUCUACUUCUAAACAUGUCAUUGUGAUCCCCAAGAGUGAUCAAUGAAGCCCCUAACAUGCAUUUUGCCACAUUUUAUAUUUUUCAUUUUUAUAAUUGCAGGAAAGGACAUGCUUACAUUAAUGUAUAAAAUAUCAGAUGCUCUCAGAUUUAUGUGUGUAUAUUGAAUAUGGUGAAUUUAUAAAUUACAAGUUUAUUCUAGGUUUAUGUAAGAUUUUAUAAAUCAAGGAUUUCCAUGUCAUAUCUGCAAUUCAAAAGUGACCAUCUACUUGCACAGAUUGCUCAGACGAGACCCUAUGGGUGCCUUGGGUUAUUCAAGCAUAAAAUAUUCUUUAACCAAAACUGAUCAUGGUCGACCAUGUGAGAUCGACAUUGUUGUUGCAACUAGAAAAGGAGAUGUUCUUGGAAAAAAAACUGUUUUAAAAAGCGACCACUUUCCUGGUUGUCAAGCCCUUUCUUUGCCAGAGAAGGUAGAAGGUGCACCCAAUUUCAGAGGAGUUCCAGGUUUUCCAGUUUACGGUGUUGCUAAUCCCACAGUUGAUGGUAUUAAGAAUGUUGUUAGGAAGAUAAGUGACAGUAGAAAUGGGUGUCCAAUUUUAUGGCACAAUAUGAGAGAAGAACCAGUUAUCUAUAUAAAUGGGAAACCUUUUGUGCUCCGUGAGGUAGAAAGACCUUACAAAAACAUGUUGGAAUACAGUGUAAGUGUGGGUGAAGUGGUAUUAAUUUUUAAUAAACAAUACAUCCUCUUUUUAAUCCUGUGGGAAUACAAUUUUCGUCACUUCAUUUGUGAGUUGUGAUAUUUAGUAGUUUUAUUUUACUAUAAUUGACUUUACAGGGAAUUGAUUGUGAAAGAGUAGAGAAAAUGGAAGCUCGACUGAAAGAUGACAUUUUACGGGAAGCAUGUCAAUAUGAGGGUUCUAUAAUGGUAAUCAAUGAAACUGAAAAUAAUGAGAUUGUUGAAGUUUGGGAACAUGUUGAUUCUGAAGCUGUUCAAACCCCACUUGAAGUAUAUAAGCAUCUAGAAGCUGAAGGUUUUCCAAUUAAAUAUGCACGUGUUCCUAUCACUGAUGGUAAGGCUCCAAAAAGUUCGGAUUUUGACAGAAUGGCAGUCAAUAUUUGCUCAGCUUCAAAGGAUGCGGCUUUUGUUUUUAAUUGCCAGGUAGAAUUUCAUUAUAAUACACUAAUACAGAUGCACUUGUGUUUUGAUUCAUUUUUAAUCACAGCCAUUUCCAUUUUGGCUACUUUUUAAUUGUGACCUUUCUCUCUCUUUACAGAUGGGGAGGGGGAGAACUACUACAGGUACUGUUAUUGCUUGUCUUUUGAAGCAUCGGAUUGAUUACGGAAGACCAUUUAAAAUGGUUGACAAGGAUGUCUUCCUUGGAAAUUUAGAAGAAUCAUCGAGUGACGAUGAAGAUAUCUUAGAUAGUCCUACAUCAAAGAAAACUCCACCUGCUUUUGGAAUUCAUGACAUUCUUUUACUGAGGAAGAUAACCAGAAUGUUUGAUAAUGGGGUUGAAUGCAGAGAAGUACUAGAUGCUGUAAUUGAUAAGUGUUCAGUCUUGCAAAAUAUACGUGAAGCUGUUCUUCAUUACAGAAGGCAGUUGAAACAACAGCAUGUAGAACCGAGAGUAAAGAGAUUCGUUCUAAAUCGUGGUGCAGAGUAUUUGGAGAGGUACCUGCGUUUGAUUGCGUUUUCCGCAUAUCUUGGCAGUGAGGCGUUUGAUGGUUUUUGUGGGCAAGGUGAAAGUGCAAUAGCAUUUAAAACAUGGUUGUAUCAGAGACCAGAUCUCCAAGCUACAAAGUGGAGUGUACGUUUACGACCUGGUCGUUUUUUCACUGAUCCAGUAAUGUUUCCUUCUUCUUCUAUUAGUUAUCGCUGUUUUUCUCCAUUGUUGUCAUUUUUUUCCAAGAGAUGCAUAUAUAUAUAAUUGUAUAUAUCAUUGUCUUUGACAUCAAAUUUUCAUUUAACAGGGUUCAAAUCCAAGAGUACAUGUAUUCGAGCAUGAUGACAUUAUUACAGAGGCUGUAGUAAAAGCUCGCAAUGGUUCUGUUCUGGGUAAAGGAUCAAUAUUAAAAAUGUAUUUUUUUCCUGGACAGAGAACAUCUGAUUCCAUGCAUAUUAUUGGUGCACCCCAUGUUUACAAGGUAUUUGAGCAAAAAUAUUCUGUACAUUUCAUUUGCGUGAAUAUGAAAUCAUGCAAUUUCUCUAGUAGUAAUAUGAAUAUCUAGUAUUCAAAGAGAUUCUUUAUUUGAAACAAAACCAAUUACCUCAAUCAUUGGACAUUGUUUUUUUUGGUUGUUUCUAAGUUUCCAAUGGAUACUUUUUUGCUUAAUGUCAAUUCAACAGAAGUUUUUUUUUGUUCUUAGUUCUUAUAUUUACAGUUUACUCUCAGGUAUUCAGUAUUGGAUUUUUUUACAUGCAAAGUAAUGCCAUUUUCUCUGUAUAAUCUCUUUUUUCUUAAACUAUUAACAGGCAGAUAGUUAUCCAGUGUAUAGCAUGUCUACUCCAACAAUUGAUGGUGCCAAGGAAAUGUUAUCACAUUUGGGUGCCAAUUCUACAGAAAACGAAAGAACUUCCCCGAAAGUAAUAGUGACUGAUUUGAGAGAAGAAGCAGUUGUCUAUGUAAAUGGAACACCUUUUGUUCUUAGAGAGCUAGAUCAGCCUGUUGAUACUCUCAAACAUGUAGGAAUCAUUGGAGAAAUGGUGGGUAUUUCUUUUGGAAAAGGGUACAGUUUUGGAAACCGAUGUUGAAAAUUUGUUAAUUUGUCAGGUGGAAAACAUGGAAGCAAGGAUGAAAGAUGAUAUUCUCUCUGAAAUCAAACAAUCUGGUGGCAGAAUAUUGUUGCAUCGUGAGGAAUUUAAUCCAGUAAGCGAACAUUCUACGGUAAUAGGUUAUUGGGAGAAUGUUCCAGAGGAUGGUGUGAAAACACCUGCAGAAGUAUAUAAUAAUCUUAAAGAUGAAGGUUACAACUGUCAGUAUAGAAGAAUACCUCUGACAAGAGAACGGGAAGCAUUAGCCAGGGAUGUUGAGGCAAUUCAGCGUUGUAAGGACUUGUAAGUUUCGCUAUUUAGUACUUUUAUAACUCAUAAGCUAUGUCCUGUUUUAUCCAUCGUGCAUUUCUACAUUUUGUGAUCCAAUUUUACUUGAGGUGGUUUCUUCUACAGAUCUGCUGGAUGCUACCUUUUUGUUUCCCACACAGGAUUCGGGGGUGUUGGUUAUGCUAUGGCUAUUACUUGUCUUGGUCUUAAUGCUGCUGAUAGAAAUCUCAUGGCAAAGACAUCAUCAGGAAAAUCUAGUGGAACAGAUGAUUUUUCGUCGGUGGCUGUGCAUUCAGAAUCACCAUCAUCUCAAUUUUCUGAUGAUGAAGCACUUAAACAGGGUGAAUACCGGGACAUACUUAACCUCACCAGAGUCCUCUUACAUGGACCGAAAAGCAAGGUGGAUGUUGAUGCAGUUUUAGAAAGGUAUUUUGUCCAUAAAGAAAUAAUUGAAAUAUUAAAACAAAAUUGAAAUAUUCUUACUUGGAUUUUUUUGUAUGCAAAUGAACAGAUGUUCUGGUGCUGGAAAUAUACGUCAUGACAUAUUGCAUUACAAAAAGAAAUUUGAGAAAUGUGGUACUGGUGAUGACGAGACCCGUUCCACUCUUCUGGAUAUGGGCAUUAAAGCUCUAAGGUUUGUUGUACUUUUGUUGUACGAAAAUCAAAUGGAUAUUUCUAUUUCAUUAAUCAUUAGAAGAGAAAAAUCAAUAACCAAAUGCGUGUCGUUUAAAUAACUCUUAUUUGGACCUUGCAGGCGAUACUUUUUAUUGAUCACCUUCAGGUCUUACCUCUUCUCCGCCAAUCCCUUGGAAAUUGGAUUUGCAUCAUGGAUGAAAGCACGACCUGAGCUACGUCACCUUUGUGAUAAUUUGAGAUUCGACAGAUA
rnacentral:lncRNA from 1 species